rnacentral:lncRNA from 1 species
AUUGACAUUUAUUUAUGCAAAUUUAUUUAUUUUUUAUUUUUAUUAUUUCUAUUUACUUAUUUAUUUAUUUAUAUAUAUAUUUUAUUGCACUUUAGGUUCUGGAGUACAUGUGCAGAACGUGCAGGAUUUUUGCAUAGCACAUCUCCUAUAUGCCUGGCACUGGGCCAAGUACUAAGGAAGCCACCCGGAAUUAUGGGAAUUAAAAUGGAGCCUAAAGACCAAUUUCCAGGUAUCCUCAACAACUUUAGACCAGCGUGUCAAUCUCAAAUGCCCACAGGGACCAGAGACCACAUCUGGAACCACCAGGGACACUAAAUUGCCUCUG